CAACGAAAGCUCCUCAUAAGAUGUCAAUUCCUGACAGUGAUAUGAACCUCAUCAAGUCGCCACAAGAAACUUCCCUUGAUUGUUGUGGCUGACCAAGUUAUUCCAGAGUUUGCUUCGCACUAUCCAUCCAUAUUCAAGUUCCACCAAGGUAUGUUUGCUUUGCACUAUCCAUCCAUAUUCAAGUUCCACCAAGGUAAGUGCUCCUACAGCAUCUUACUUCAAAUCAAAUAAACAAUGACUUGUGCAGCAAAUUCAGAUUGAUAUCUUCCUUUAUCACGGUGAUUCUCAAAUUCCUCAGAUAUUCCUUAAAGAACUCCCAUAAAGAGGCUGUUUCUUCAUCACAUACAACAUCUUCCAACUUUACUAGUUUUAGCACAGAAUUGGGCAGCUCAGAAAACCCCAGGCGGCUCCCCAUGCAGACGGUCUGUAAAGAACUGAGUUGAUCCAUUUCCAUUGGCAAGUAAUCCA
rnacentral:lncRNA from 1 species